GCGGAGAGGUGAGAGCGGAGAAGUGCGCGAGCUGUGGAGGAGCACGAGCGAAGUCACAAACAGCGGCGGGAAACUGCUGAAGAAGGAAAGGGGGCGAGCUAAAGGGGCUGUGGGCAUGUCGGUAACCUGUCCCAGUUGUACCCGCCGGCACCCAACAGCAGCUGGGACAGGCUCCAGCAUCUCUGUGACCCUGAAAGGGAUCCAGCAGGUGAAGAAAGUGGAUGAUUGGACCCCAUGCUGUUAAGCCUUGGUAGUCUCUGCCCUCACCGAACAAGUCCACUGUCAGUGUCAAUACCCACUAGAGUGGCUGCUAUCAACAGAAGUUGCGUGUUGCAGACCAAAAGCAGGGGAUAUGCCUUGCCCUGGCACAAAGAUGAGACACAAACACCAUGUCCUCCUGCAAGAAUCACUAAGCUGGAAGAUCAAGAUGCUGCAAAAUAUUUGCGUCUGCUGAAAACAUCCUGGGGCCAAAGCAAAAUCUGCGAACCAUGAGAAGAAGCACAGCUCUCACAGUACCUGAGGAGAAGCCGUUCAUGCACAAAAGUAACUAAAAUAUCAACAACAAAAAAACUGGAGGACAUUUUUCAUCUUUACCUUCCCUGACGUUUGGAUAUUGCUGUGUUUGGAAGCAAUAUCCAACAAGGGGGUUAAGGUUUUCAGGACGGCACUACCACACCACAGCAGACAAAGGUGAUCUAUUCCCUAGUCCCAUCUAAGAAAGUUCAAAACAUGUAGUAAUCUGGAAUUUAUGGCACCGUUUAAGGAUUUUCAAAGCAUCUCUGGUAUUAAAGGAAGACGCAUCUUUGGAAACGUUCGCUCGGUCAAAUACAAACUACACUUUAUUUAUGGAAGCCGUUUUACAGACAGCCCAUUAGAUUGAAAAAUGCCCAUAAUAUGUCCACUCAUACAUGUGUUAGUGCUGUCGUUUGGGGACAUCACAGCUCCAGGCACCUUUACACUCCACCAGUAACCAUCAUUAUCACCAUAUUUCACAAAUAAUGUCACUGACAUCCAGGGAAUCCAUCUUCCUCACAACGCUCAGUCACACAGAAACAGCACCUGUCUGCCUUCCAGCCAGCAUACAUCUUCAGCCUCUGCUAUCUAUCUGUUGCAGCAUUUCCUGUCUGCCCCCCUCCUCCUCCUCCUCUCAUGCUCGGGAUGUUUUAACUAAUAAAGGAGAAAUAAUAUGUCCUCAAGCAGAGGGAGGUAUAUGGGGUUAAGCAUACUCUGGAACUAAUUGCACUUUCUGGUUUUUAAUAAAGACAAACCUUGUGCCUGCCGGCGUGCUUUUGGAUGCACAUUUGGAUACAUAUGGGGUUGGGCUGUGGCUAACAUACUGAUUUUAAUCAGUUGCUUGAUAUUUAAGACAGACCUGUUCCAAUGGAUAUCCCUCAGAUUAAUUACAGUUAUUAAAAAGCAGAAGAAUAUAUAAAGAAAGUUAAGCUUGGCAUUGCAUUUCUAAAUAUUUCUUCAUUCAAAUCGUGGUGAAUCAGGAGCAGCUAAAAAAAUGCAAGAAAUAUCUAUUUUAUUAGAUCAUCUACACAUAGUAAGUAAGAACAUAAUGCUCACUUUAGUACAUAUGUCAAUCUAUUCCAUACAACUACAACUACAAAGCCUAUCUAAUUUGCAAAUGCAAAAUGCACCAAGCGGUGUCAUUAGCUUGUAUUUCCAGUGAAAGCUAUUAUGAAUGAUGAGUACAGUGAAUACAUUGUCAUAGUUUUACAUUUAGCAAUGGGAACAUGUUCAUCUGGUGUGUAUCUGCUGUAGGCAAAA